GACGAACGCUGGCGGCGUGCUUAACACAUGCAAGUCGAGCGGUAAGGCCCUUUCGGGGGUACGACGAGCGGCGAACGGGUGAGUAACACGUGGGUGACCUGCCCUUACGCUCUGGGAUAAGCCUGGGAAACGUGGGUCUAAUACCGGAUAUGACUCCAUAACGCAUGUUGUGGGGUGGAAAGCCUUGUGCGGCUAGGGAUGGGCCCGCGGCCUAUCAGCUUGUUGGUGGGGUGAUGGCCUACCAAGGCGACGACGGGUAGCCGGCCUGAGAGGGCGACCGGCCACACUGGGACUGAGACACGGCCCAGACUCCUACGGGAGGCAGCAGUGGGGAAUCUUGCGCAAUGGGCGAAAGCCUGACGCAGCGACG
rnacentral:rRNA from 1 species